GGGUUGUGAGGUUAAGCGACUAAGCGUACACGGUGGAUGCCCUGGCAGUCAGAGGCGAUGAAGGGCGUGCUAAUCUGCGAUAAGCGCCGGUAAGGUGAUAUGAACCGUUAUAACCGGCGAUACCCGAAUGGGGAAACCCAGUGUGACUCGUCACACUAUCAUUAACUGAAUCCAUAGGUUAAUGAGGCGAACCGGGGGAACUGAAACAUCUAAGUACCCCGAGGAAAAGAAAUCAACCGAGAUUCCCCCAGUAGCGGCGAGCGAACGGGGAGGAGCCCAGAGCCUGAAUCAGCAUGUGUGUUAGUGGAAGCGUCUGGAAAGGCGCGCGAUACAGGGUGACAGCCCCGUACACAAAAGCGCAUGUGCUGUGAGCUCGAUGAGUAGGGCGGGACACGUGGUAUCCUGUCUGAAUAUGGGGGGACCAUCCUCCAAGGCUAAAUACUCCUGACUGACCGAUAGUGAACCAGUACCGUGAGGGAAAGGCGAAAAGAACCCCGGCGAGGGGAGUGAAAAAGAACCUGAAACCGUGUACGUACAAGCAGUGGGAGCACCCUUUUGGGGUGUGACUGCGUACCUUUUGUAUAAUGGGUCAGCGACUUAUAUUCUGUAGCAAGGUUAACCGAAUAGGGGAGC
rnacentral:rRNA from 1 species